GACGAACGCUGGCGGCGGGCUUAACACAUGCAAGUCGAACGGAAAGGCCCUGCUUUUGUGGGGUGCUCGAGUGGCGAACGGGUGAGUAACACGUGAGUAACCUGCCCUUGACUUUGGGAUAACUUCAGGAAACUGGGGCUAAUACCGGAUAGGAGCUCCUGCUGCAUGGUGGGGGUUGGAAAGUUUCGGCGGUUGGGGAUGGACUGGCGGCUGAUCAGCUAGUUGGUGGGGUAGUGGCUUACCAAGGCGUUGACGGGUAGCCGGCCGGAGAGGGUGACCGGCCACACGGGAACGGAGACACGGGCCAGACGCCGACGGGAGGCAGCAGUGGGGAAUAUUGGACAAUGGGCGCAAGCCGGAUCCAGCCAUACCGCGUGGGUGAAGAAGGCCUUCGGGUGGGAAAGACGGUUUGUUGGGAAAGAAAAGCAGCAGGUUAAUACCCCGCUGUUCUGACGGUACCCAAAGAAUAAGCACCGGCUAACUUCGUG
rnacentral:rRNA from 1 species